UACGUAGGGACCAAGCGUUGUUCGGAUUUACUGGGCGUAAAGGGCGCGUAGGCGGCUUGACAAGUCACUUGUGAAAUCCCCGGGCUUAACUCGGAACGGCCAAGUGAAACUGUCAUGCUAGAGUGCAGAAGGGGCAAUCGGAAUUCUUGGUGUAGCGGUGAAAUGCGUAGAUAUCAAGAGGAACACCUGAGGUGAAGACGGGUUGCUGGGCUGACACUGACGCUGAGGCGCGAAAGCCAGGGGAGCAAACGGG
rnacentral:rRNA from 1 species